ACCGCUGUGGUUUGACCUGCUCAAUAUCCCUUCUUCCUGAAACAGAAUCUAUCUUUUCUUCUUGGGGAGCCACCCCUCCACUACUUUUAGCCCUUGGCUUAGGUUCUUCUUUUAAGACUCAGUUCUACCAGGAGGUAACCUCUGGUAAAUUCUCAAAUCCUAGUGCCAGGGUUAGGCAUGCGAUCAAGGCAAUAUAUCCAAGAAGCGGUAUGGGAGGCAAUUUGAGCCAAUGAGAUGCAACUCAAUACCUGGAGCCCCUGGGCCAGAGACUUGGAGUUUGUAUAUCUGCAAUUGUUGGGGUUUUGCCUUCUCUCCAAGAAAGCCUGAGUGAGGAUGAAGACAACAGGAUAAAGCAGAAACGAGAGGGAGAGAUGGAUUCCUCCUGACACCAUUUGAGCUCCUCCUUCUCCAGCUGAGCGAGCAUUUCUCAAGGAUGGAUCAUAACUGACUAUUGUGUGUCUCAAGGUUGGCUCCAAACCAGCAGAAGCUGAAUAAAGAACUGUGAACUUGGAAUGACUGUGGGACGCUAGGCUCUUACUGGUCCUAACUGAAGACUUUUUCCCAACAGCGAGCAAUGGGGCUUCUUUUAACCAACUCUAUUUACAACCUUAGAUUCAUUCCGUUCUUUGCAAAGUACUGGAUUUCAACACUUAAUUAGCAAUAACCACAUGAACCUACCCUGGCAAGCCCUUUAACAACUCUGAAUUUUCCCUCUCAGUGAGCUACUACUUAAUUCAGUAAAUUUCUCCCUAUCCUGUAUUCCUGUGGCUAGCAAGUCAAUAGACUCAGCUUUUAUUUUAUUUUGAGUUGGAGUCUCGCUCUGUCAUUCAGGCUAGAGUGCAGUAGCUUCAUUUUGGCUCACUGCAACCUCUGCCUCCCGGGUUCAAGCGAUUCUCUUGCCUCAGCCUCCUGGGUAGCUGGGACUACAGGCAUGUGCCACCAUGCCCAGCUAAUUUCUGCAUUUCUAGUGGAGAUGGGGUUUCACCAUGUUGGCCAGGCUGGUCUUGAACUCCUCACCUCAAGUGAUCCACCGGCCUCGGCCUCCCAAAGUGCUGGGAUUACAGGCAUGAGCCAGUGCUCCUGACCUCAACUUUUAAUUUUUAUCUAUCGAUCUAGUCUAUUAUUACCCGCUACUUACCUACCCAUCCAUCCAUUCAUCCAUCCAUCCAUCUGCCCAUCCUUUUUUUUGUUUAUUAGCUCUGGUCUUUGUUAUAUUUGUUGAUAGGCCCAAGUAAAUUAGUAUGUGUAAAACUCACUUAAAACAGUGCUUAGCACAUGGUAAGCAUAAUAUGUGAUAGCCCUUAUGAUCUAGUAACUCACCAGUAUCUUGUGUGUAUUAGAACAAUGUGUCUCUGUAAUAUUUUAAUUAUAUCUCUAUAAGAGCAUACAUAAAUGACAAUAUAUAAAUCUCAAUAACAGAAUGUUUCUAACCCAAGUUUUAAGUAAUGAUAUGUGUUCAGGAAUACUUCAUCUGGCAUCUAGGGGAAUGGUUGGGAAGAUUUUGAGCUUCUCCAGUGGGAAAAAGGCUGGCAUAUUCAGGUCUAACUUCAGAGUCAAAGUCUUUGAAGUUAAUAAAUAGUUUUUAAUUUUGAAUAAAAUAAAAACUAUUUUUUUUAGUUUGAAGAAAGACUAUUCA
rnacentral:lncRNA from 10 species